rnacentral:rRNA from 1 species
AAACACAAACGACUCUCGGCAACGGAUAUCUCGGCUCUCGCAUCGAUGAAGAACGUAGCGAAAUGCGAUACUUGGUGUGAAUUGCAGAAUCCCGUGAACCAUCGAGUCUUUGAACGCAAGUUGCGCCCGAAGCCAUUUGGCCGAGGGCAUGUCUGCCUGGGCGUCACGCAUC